rnacentral:lncRNA from 1 species
ACGAUUAUGACACAAUGAGGGAUUUUUCUUCUCCGCUUGGGGAGUAUAAUACGGCAUUAACAUUUAUAGCCUGUUCAACUCCUGUGAUCAAUUCUUCAAUAUCAAGAAGAUAUAAACGCACGUCUGUGUGCUCAUCAUCGUCAGUCACCUCGUAUGUUGUCAUCGGAUAUAUGGACUACUCAGAAGUGGAAAACAAUUGCACAAUUCAGAAGACGAGUUGGGUGUCAUCUGCGUGGCCUGGUAUUAAUAAAACAUCUUUCAUGGACAUUCACGAUUUCACUUACGGCAUAGAGCUUCCAUUCCGCUACUUGGCCUGCUUAAAGUGUCCUGCUCCUCAAUCGCCAUAUUGUUUGAGUGUUAGAAAUGAAAAUUAUCAAUUUGAUUGCGAGCCUGCAGGUGAGUAACUUAUUUCACUUUCUUCUGUUCUGUGUCUUUACAGGGAUACAUCAUACGCUGGCGCUUUUUGUAUCUUCGUGAAUAUAUUUAUGAAAUUAAAUAUGAGGUGAAACAGGAGGAUUAAGGAAAAGAAAAUUUUGAAGCUACUAUUUGAUGAUACUAUUAUCAAAAUUCUGAUGAGGCGCUAAAUAGAAUAAACUCCGUCACUUUUUUAUUUUAUUGUAUCAAAAUUCUAAUGAGGUGCUAAUUAGGAUAAAUUUUGUCACUAGUUUAUCAAUGAGAAAGUUAACUGCCGUUGUGCCACCUUAUUAAAGGAACUGUGAUUCGUGUCAUAAAAGUAUGCGCCCAGUCUGCCUAAAAUUUCGAGUUGGCUUAAGAUCUUUCUAUCUUUUGUAGAUUCUUGGCUCCCCGUCAUUUUAUUCAGUUUGGGUGAGCGAUCUAAUCAUUUUGCCUACUCUUCUUGAACCAAUAAUCUGUCAACUGGUUUCUAAUAUAUUUCUUCUGUAUUCUGCUUUGCAACCACACAGAGAUUGCAGUAGGAGCGCUCGCGGGUAAGAUCUUAAGCCUUUAACCAACUGCUUUAGUUAUCUUUACAAGCUAAAACUUCUAAAAUGCAGACAGAAAAGACACAAAAUAGUUUUUUUAAAGCUUUGGAAUACUUAUUUGUAUUGUUCUGUUCAAUAUAUUGAUACAAGAGAGAUUAUUUUCAAGAUCUAUGCAAACUAUAUACAAUAAAUGAAUUAAUGACUCAAAACUUUUAAAUCAGACAUAAUUAUUCCAGUACUAGUCAAAGCAUGUUAUCAGAAUAAUACCUCAAGAUUUCUGAUUUCAAUCUCAUACCAAUCUGCGAACCAAGAACCUUAGCUUCUGUUUGGUACAAGUCGUUUUACUAUAGUUACAUUUUAUUAAUAUGUGUGGUCUGCGUUGCCUUACAGGCGGUUUGGCUUACAUUUUGGCCUUUCUUCAUGCCUGCCUUUUAAUUUUCAUGGCGCAGACAGACAUAGGUGAGCAAACCGAUUCACCUCUCUGGUCUAUUAUCUUUAUGUAAGUCGCUUUUAACUUAGUAUUGUUUUCUGCCUUUUCAUCACCGCCGCACAUGCAGGACCUCCGGAGUUGCUGGCCGCGGGUAAGAUUAAUUCUUCGGUACUCUUUGAUGAAUACAUUCUGCGUUUGGUUAAGGGAAAAGGAAAUAUUUCUGUAGUUCUUUAAACUUUAUAAUUGUACAAGAGCAAGUUUUUUUUUUUAAAAAAAAGGAAAUUAAUUCAAUUAUGAAAAGUCAUACCGCAUCUACAAGAACAAUCGAGUCCAACAAACAUAAAAUAGAUCAUAUCGCUAAUUAAUCUAGUCUUUAUAAAAACACAAUCAAUCGUUUUGUUGAAAUUGAUAUAUCUACAUGUAUCGCCUUCACCAAAAGCCGUUUGAGCUAUCGAUCGUAAUUACAAUCUCAUAUUAAUAUUUAUCACUGUAUCAAACCCUUGAAAAUUUGGUGGAUCUAACGUCCUAGACAUUCAAACCCACCAAAAAACACACCAGGCCAUCACAAGGAGAGAAUAAACAAAACCCAAAUAAAUUGGAAACAAACCUCAUCCAAAAGAUUUUAUCAAAUAAAAAGACAACGUCAACACCGUCAAGAGAUAUAAAUCCUUAUCUGGGCAGGAGUAUUAUUGAAAAAUAAAGUAAAGAAAAUAAUUGAUUUGUGACUUUCCACCGGUGAAAACUGAUGGAAGCCCCUGGCGGCAGCCGGAAAAAGGAAGAGGUUGAGAGAAAUUUUUUUUUAGGAUUUUGAGGAGGUGAGAGGAGAUACUAUAAGAGCAAGUUCUAUGCAAACUCAAAUAUAUUACUUUUAUAAUAUAAUAUUAGUUAUAAAAACAUAGCACUGCAUUAUAAUAUUUCAAAAUGUGCUAAUUCAAAAAAAAAUGUUAUACUUAAUUCUAUAUCUAGAAUAAAUUAUAAUUGCAACUAUACUUCUUGCAAUUAUCACAUGGGCAAAUGAGAAAUUAGAGGGAAAUGAAUAUAGAAACAAGUUUAAUUCAAUUUUGUGUACUUUUGUUCAUCCUUCCUUCUACAUUUAAUUAGUUUUAAAUUUAUUUUGUUCUUUGUCAAAAAAAAAAAAUUUAUUUUGUUCAAUUUUAGAACUACACAUCAAUCCUAUUUUUACAUCAAAAUAUAUAUUUUUAAUUUCAUAUUAUAACAAUAGUUACAUUUAUUUUCACAUUUAUGUUGACUUGCUCUAAUAAUUCUUAAAUAAGCAUUUGCUCUAUUUUCAUUACAAUCUAAACCAAUCCAAAGGACCUGCAACUUGCUAUCCACUAAUAAGUUUAACGAAAUUAAAAUGAGAAAUGACUUGAUUAUUUUUUAUCGCACUUGCAGCUUACUACUAAUGAAUUUCAUGAAGUUAAAAUGAGAAAUGACUAUAUUAAUUUUUGUCGCACCCUUGCAUUUAAAUUUUUGUGAGAGAAUGUCAUAUUUAUUGCCAAAUAUUUUAAUCUCUUAAUACAGAAACAUUGAGAAUUUUUUAAUAACUUUAGUAUCACUCAUGAGUGACAAUCAUGGUCUAGUUUUGAAUUUAUAAUCUCACGUUAAAGUUAAAUGUCCAAAAAAAAAAUAUAUCCAUAACACGUUAUAGUAUCCAUUGUUUAUUGGUAAGACUGCAAUGAACUGAGAUUUCUAGGAUAAACUAUUUUUGUUUUUGCAUUUUGGCUUUCUGCAGGAUUUCUCCUACCUGUAACUGCAAGAUUUUUGUGUGGAAUGGCAUUUCUUUUAGUAUUUCUUGUAUACAAAUUGAAGAGAAGACACUUAUCAGCGUAUGACACCAUCGAAGACUUCCUGCAAGGUCAAAACAAUCUCAUGCCUAUUAGGUACACUUACUCCCAAAUCAAGAAAUUCACCAAAGGAUUUAAAGUUAAACUUGGUGAAGGGGGCUUUGGUACUGUAUAUAAAGGAAAACUUCGAAGUGGUCAUGUGGUAGCUGUUAAAAUGUUAAGCAACUACAAGGCCAAUGGCCAAGAUUUCAUCAAUGAAGUUGGUACAAUUGGUAGGAUCCAUCAUGUUAGCAUCGUGAGGCUUGUUGGCUAUUGUGUUGAGGGUCCAAAACAUGCUCUCAUCUAUGAAUACAUGUCUAAUGGAUUUCUUGAUAAAUCCAUUUUCAAAGAUGGAGAUGAAGAUGAUGGAGUCACUACUUUGAGUAGUGAAAAGAUCUAUGAGAAAUCUUGGAAAGUGGAAUGUGACAUUGAGUAUCUACCUCGAGGUUGUGACAUGCAAAUCUUGCAUUUUGAUAUCAAGCCUCAUAACAUCCUCCUCGAUGAGAAUUUCAAUCCAAAAAUAUCUGAUUUUGGUCUUGCAAAAUUACGUUCUACUGGUGAUUGCACUGUGACUAUGACUGCCGCAAGGGGAACAAUGGGCUACAUGGCUCCUGAAUUAUUUUACAAAAAUAUUGGAGGUGUUUCUUACAAGGCGGAUGUUUAUAGCUUUGGGAUGUUGUUGAUGGAAAUGGCGGGAAAAAGAAAAAAUUUGAAUCCUUAUGUGGAUCAAAGUAGCGAAAUUUACUUUCCUUCGUGGAUUUAUGACCAGGUUAAGGAAGGAAAGGAAAUAGAAACAGAAGAUGCGUCUGAUAUUGAAAAAGAGUUGGUUAAAAAGAUGAUUAUUGUAGCAAUGUGGUGUAUACAGAUGAAGCCAAUUGAGCGUCCUUCAAUGAACAAAGUUAUUGAAAUGCUUGAAGGGGACCUUGAACUUUUGGUGAUGCCUCCUAAACCUCUGAUUUGUCCACAAGAAACCCCUGGAACUGAAGAUCAAGAACUUGAUUAAAGUUCUUCAAACUGAUGACGUGAUAAUGAAAUUCUGAAUAUGAAGAAGAGACAAUGAUUAGCCCUAUUCAGAUUAAUUGAUUUGCCUAUGUAUGAACUAUCUUUGUGAAGUAUGUAUGAUUUUCCGAGUUAUGAACUAUUUGUGUGAAGCAUGUAAAAUUAUUUUCAUUUGAUUGGUGCUUUCAGUUUUCUAGUUCUGAAAUCUUGGUCACACGGUAACAGAGUUGUUAGUUUAGGUGUUCUCAUAGAAAACUAGGAAGUCUGUGACUCAGACCAAACCUGCAAUAUUUGCGGCUAAAUAAAAAUUAUUAGUAGAUUGUGGUUUUCCUCUUCUAAGUGAGUGUCAUUUGACCCAUCCAUGUCAAAUUUCAGAUCAAUAGUACACUUUAGUUUCUCGAUCAAAUUGAUUAAAUUUGAUUGAAUUUUACGUGUACUAUAUAAUUGAAAAUUAUAUAAAAAUUAUGUGCAAUCUUAUAUAAUGUUUUUUUAGUUUAUUAAAUUAUAAAAGAAUAAUUUGCAAUCAAAAAAUAUUCGGUUUAAUCACAAAAAAUCAAAAUAUACUACUCCCUCCGUCCCACAAUACAUGUCCUUUUGACUUUUUUCACGUAAUUUGAGGGGCAAAUAAAACAUAUGUCUAUACAUUAUUUUUCAAAAUUUCUUUUUCAGAAUAAAAAGAUGGAUGUUAUACUUUUAUUCAGAAAAAAAAAAUGAGGAAAAUAAUGUAUAGAAGUAUGUUUUAUUUGCACAUCAAAUUACGUGCAAAAAGUCAAAGGGACAUGUAUUGUGGGACGGAGGGAGUACUAAUUUGAAACGAAGAUACUAGUAUCUAACCAAUUUGGUAAAUAUUGGAAGAGAUGAGGUAGUGAUUUGGUAAAUCAACGUAAAAUGUUUAAAAGGAGAAUUAGGAAGGUAGUAGCCAUAGUGUUGUGUGAUAUUGUUCGACUUGGUAAAAAAGUGGAGUUGCUGUGAUUUGUAAUCGAUGGAAUCGACAUAGGCCUCAACAGAAAACGAGAGAUGGAGUCCCGGGAGAGAGGUGUUGUCGUGUUGACCUGGUAUUCAAAUUGAGUACGGGAAAAUUGUUAGAAUGAUCAGAGGUAUUGCAAGAGAGUUGAAAGCCAGGAACGUCGCAGCGUUUGGACUCGAUCUGCUGAUCUUUUUCGUGAUUAAUACGGUGGAAAGGGAACCGAAUUUUGGUUCCUCCCCUGCGGCACCAUGUCACACUGCAUUUAUCAUGUUCAAGUAUCGCAACACCAUGUUUACUCAUGAAACAACAUACAAAUACAAGCAGCUUUAUUACAUGAACAAUAGCCAUAUCAAAGUUCUCGGACCUAAACUUGCGCUUUAGGCAACUCAUAGCUUCUGCUAAAGAGCGUUCAGAGGAUAAACUCUUAACCACUGUUAUGCAACGAUGCUCAACGACUCCGGUGCCAAAUAUUAUCCCUGCAAAUUUAGAUAGCUGCCAAGCAAAUGACUGGUAGAUAAACGACUGUACAAAAUAGAAAACAAAUGUCUUUAUUGUUAUUAAUUAGAUAGAUGCUCGUGAGGGUGAUUGAUAUGUGGCGAAUCCCUCUUAGUCCAAGACUGUAGAGUUGGAUCGAGAAGUAUUAUAAUCAGUAUUGUAAAAAGCGGAAAUUAAAAUUUAAUCAAUAAAAAUAAAUAACAUAAAUCGAAGAUUAAUUAGAUUGAUUGGAGAUUCAAUCAAUCCGAUGAGUUGCAGAAUAUGAGAUUAAUUUAAUCACCAAUUUUUAGAAUAUAAUUAUAACAUAUACUCUUUUAUAAUUUAUAAAGCAUAUAGGCCCUAUUUAGAAGUUGGAUGUUUUGGGCAAAAUAAUUAGAGGUUUGACCACUAUAAUCCGCUAAUAUUAGUGUUUGGUAGUUAGCGGAGUGAAAUAGAAGUUUGACUCGAAAAGCUAAUUUUCAAAAAAACUAUUUUGAGGAGUUUUUUUAGAUUAAAGAUUUGGUAUGUGUCAUAAAAACUAAUCAUAACAACUAUUUACCAAACAGUUAUACAAGAAAAUGUUAAUUCAAUCCACUAGUCAAAACAUGUAUUUCAAUCAGCUGGUCAAAACAUUUAAUUCAAUCCGUUGACAACUAACCGCUAACCAAUAAUUCUCAAACAGGACCCUAACCUCACAAACUUGGUUGACGGUUACCAGCCCUCCUGAUGGAUACUGGAAAGUAUGUAGAACGCGUAGUAUAUUUUUAUUUAAGACCAAUUUCAAGUAGGGUUACAAAUUCCGAAAACAGUUGAAUUGACACAAAUGUGUUGUAGACGUUGACGUUGACGGGAGUAAUACUUGGACUUGUAUGGGUGCUUCUAUUUUUUGUUAAAAGAGAAGAGAGGCUGGACUUAGCUACUUUUUGUUAAAAUGGAGGAUUUUUCUUAGACUUGUGUGAGUGAUUCUUUUUAAAUUAAAUCAGCGGUUGUAAAAGAAUUUUUCUUUUGACUUAAUGAAUCUUUUUUGGCCCUCGAAGAAUAUUAGUGUGUAAUAUUGAUUUUUACUAUUUGAACUCAUUCAUUUUAAUCUUCUAACUACAUUACAAUGACACAAUAAAACUCACCUGUGAAGUUGAUCGACGCGCAAAAAGUUAGUGGAUAAAAUCGACUGACAACAGACGAUCAGUUACUACUAUAACAACGUCAUCUUAUUGAGUUGGCAUGACUUUGACCGAAUUUAACUGACCGGAAUAACUUGAUUGGUUUUGAUGUUAACAUGUCAAGUUUAAACCGUCCGUUUGUAGCGGUUGAUUAUAUUCUUAAAUAUUUUUAAUUAAAUUUCUAGAAAUCUGUAAGACAUAGCGACGUUGUUUUUGGCUUUUGAAGACAAAACCGACCGUCUUUCGUGGUCAGUUUUAAGUAUUAAUUUAUUAUUUUAAAUAUAUUUAAUUAGUUUGAAAUGGAAAACAUAUACAUCAUAACCAAUCAUUUUUUUACCAUUGCAUAACUCAUAUAUAUAUAUUUAAUAUCACAAUAUAAAAGUAUAUAACGAUGUAUAUAUCUUUAAUAUCGCAAUAUAAAAGUAUAUAACGACGUAUAUGUGAAGAUCAAUUAACAUGGGUCGAUGGAUACAGAGUGAUAUUCUUGAAGGAUGACUGGAUGAGUGGUUAAGCCUUCUCCUCUUUUGAGGGAGAACAGGGGAACAAGUUUAGAUGAGAAAUACACUGAUUCAUUCACACUCCUAGCUUGUACAUUUGUACUACCAUUGUCCUUUAGCCUUUCUAAUUUUCCUCCCGAGCUUCAUGUGCAGACACGCUUAGGUGUCUGCUUGAUAUACAAGAAAUGAUGUCGGCUUUGCUACUAGUAACCGUUGUCGUGUUCACAAUUCUAUCUAGCAGCUGCUGCGAAGCUUCUUAUUCAACACCAUCUUCUUCUUGCGGUAAUAUUGGCAACAUUAGCCAACCAUUUUACCUCAAAGGUCAGCCACACAGAUGGCACGGUUUCAGCUAUGAACUCUCUUGUGAGAACAAUCAUACUAUUUUAAAAUUUGCUACUAUACAAUUUUCCAAAUUCUACGUGGAGGCCAUCAAUUAUGCGAACUGGACUGUUCGGAUAAUUGAUUCAGGGCUAGCCAGAAACAACUACUCAUGUUCCUCUGUUCCUCUUCAUCCUUUCUUCAACAAAACUAAAUAUAAUUAUCAGUUGCCUACUUUUUCCGCAAUUGGGAAAUUGAAUAAGCCGAUAACGUAUAUAGACUGUCCAGCACCUGUGACAAAAUCCGUAACAACAAGAUAUAAACCCACAACUCCUUGCUCAUCAUCAGUCUCUUCAUACGUUGUGAUUGGAUACAUGGACUCGUCUGAAGUGGAGAACAACUGUACGAUUCGGAAGGCAACUUGGGUGUCAUCCGCAUGGCCUGAUAUUAAUAGAACAUCUUUCUUGGACAUCCGGGACAUGGUGUACGGAAUAGAGCUUCCAUUCAAAUAUUUUUCCUGCCUAAAGUGUCAUCGACCUCUAUCCGAUUAUUUUGGGGAUGUAAGAUCCGAAAAUCCUCAAUUGAGCUGCGACUCUGGUACUGGUAGGAUUAUGUUUCUUAGCAGGCUUUAGUAACAACGUUAAUCAUCUAAUGAAUUCAUAUUCGAAACCAGACCUGCUUACAAAACAACUUUGCAAUUUUUUGUAGAUAAUUCUCGGCUGCCCGAUUGGUUCGAGUACCUGGGUGAGAAGUUUCACACAAAUUCCUCCUUUCAUAUUUUGUGAACGUUUAUUUGUCAAGUUUUAACAUUUUUCUGUGGCCUUCUUAUCAUUGCGACGUGCGGCACAGAACUUGCAAGCUCCUUCUUAAGUAAGCUGUUAAACCUCACAAUUUACAAUCUCAGGCUUUCCCUUGACUAACACUCUUUAUGGAUCGCCUUAAAACGACACUCUUUAUUAAUUAUUCUAUGCAUUACUCUAAAGACAUAAAACUCUUAGUUAAAGGAAAAUACCAUAAAUAUUAACUAUUAACUCUUGAAGAUACUUUGAGGGUCAUUAAGCCUGAUUAUUAACUCUUGAACAUUCACCGCUAUAUUUGUGGAAGCGUAUAGUAAGAUUAUUAUAGUAAAGUUCCUUGUAGACCAGAUUUUCAUCGUAGUAUCGUAUACCAACAUCUUAGCCAUUCAUUAUAUUUAAUCUAACGGUCCUUAUUAUUCUCCUUUUAUUAUUAUUUUUAAAUUAUGUCUGGUGAUUGAAUUUUAGAUAUGCAUUAUAAAAUAAGGACCACAAGUUGAAUUAUGAUUUUGUGUUUUAUGUAUCUCUCCGUACUUCGCCAUAGUUCUGCACAUUUAUGUACUUGUUUGUCCAUUUCGUUCAUCAUCGAUUAUUGUUUUUCUUCUCUAUAUUGAAGUCAAAAACCUCUAUCAUGCUGCACCUUCAUUGGAUUUGGUUAAUUACUUAAUUUUUACAUAGUUGAAGUGGAUAAAUUAUAAAUGAUAUUUUAGAGAUAAUGUAUAUAUAUAAAUACAAGUACCGGCAGCUUCAUGCAUUCUCGUUGAAUUACUCGUACCCUCUUCAUCAUGUCCUAUCCUGAUAUAGAGUUAUCGUUUGAGCUAUCAACCAGAUUGCGACUCCAUACAAACUUUCAUCACCAAAUCAAGAUCCUGCUUACAAUUAAGAAGCGAAAAACAAAGCUGUCACAUUUUAGAUUAAAUUUUGUUAUAACAUUAGUUAAUUGUCCUAAAUCGUCCUCACAAACUCUCUCUUUUCUUUUCUUGUUUUAUGUCAGGCAGAUUUCUGUGACUGGAGUAUUUGAGAUAUAAAUAUUUUGCAUAACUUUAUGCAAGAUCGAUCAUUUCAGAAAAAAAAAAACUUUAUGCAAGAUAAUUUUAAAUUUGUGCUCCCACAUCCCACAUUUUGCACUACGCUAAAAUAGCGGUUUGCAUUCAUGUCUUGUAGGUCCGCUCCGGGCUCUGCUGUGGCUUCUGAACCGUGAGUAAUUUUAAUUUUUUUUGCUUUUUCAUUUUUUAAAGACAAAUUUUCCCUGUUUUUCUCCAUCCUGAUAUCUUUUAAGUGUUUUUCUGACUCAUCCUUCGUCUUUCUUCAAACCACGCAGGAUUUCUUAGCCCCUUGGUCCAAGGUAAGACGUUAAAUUUUAUCAUUCCUCUGCUAACGAGAUUUCUGGUAUAACAUUUGGUACAUUUAUGAACAGCCGAGAUUUCUGGUAUUAUGUUUUGUUUUUUGUUUUUUGCAGAUUUUUUUUUUUAUGCACAACUUCUGUGCAAAAUAGCAUUUCUAGUGGCAUGUCUAGUAUACAAAAUAAGGACAAGACAUGUAUCUGUAUAUGACAACAUAGAAAAAUUCCUGCAACGACAAAACAAUUUCAUGCCCAUUAGGUACAGUUAUUCUCAAAUUAAAAGAUCCACCAACGGGUUCAAAGAUAAACUUGGUGAAGGAGGCUUUGGUACCGUAUACAAAGGGAAGCUUCGAAGCGGCCUCAUUGUAGCUGUUAAGGUGUUGAGCAACUACAAAGCUAGUGGUGAAGAUUUCAUCAAUGAAGUCGGUACAAUUGGUAGGAUUCAUCAUGUUAACAUUGUGAGACUUGUUGGCUUCUGCGCUGAGGGUAACAAACGUGCUCUAGUUUAUGAGUUCAUGCCUAAUGGCUCUCUUGAUAGAUACAUUUUUGUCGAUGGAGAUAGAGGUGAGGCUGGGGAAAUAACUACUUUGAAUUGUAAAAAGAUGUAUGAGAUUUCAUGCAAAGUGGCAUGUGGCAUUGAGUAUUUACAUCGAGGUUGUGACAUGCAAAUCUUACACUUUGAUAUCAAGCCUCAUAAUAUUCUCCUCGAUGAGAACUUCAAUCCAAGAAUUUCUGAUUUUGGCCUUGCAAAAUCACGUGCUACUGGUGAAAGUACUGUGACUAUGACUGCAGCAAGGGGGACAAUGGGUUACAUGGCUCCGGAAUUAUUUUACAAAAAUAUUGGAGGUGUUUCUUAUAAAGCGGAUGUGUAUAGUUUUGGAAUGUUGUUAUUGGAGAUGGCAGGUAAAAGGAAAAACUUGAAUCCAUUAAAGGAUGAAAUUAGCCAAAUUUACUUCCCUUCAUGGGUCUAUGACCAGAUAAGCAAAGGGAAGGAGAUUGAAACGGAAGAUGCUACUACUAAUGAAAAGGAAUUGGUGAAGAAGAUGAUUAUUGUAGCCAUGUGGUGUAUCCAAAUGAAGCCAACUGACCGACCUUCAAUGAAUGAAGUUAUUGAUAUGCUUGGAAGGGACCUCGGACUUUUGGUUAUGCCUCCUAAACCUUUGAUUUGUCCAGAAGAGGUGAUGACCGAGGAUGCAGAACUUACUCUGACGUCUUCAAAUUGAUGAUGUGUGGAUAUACUGAUAUACUUUGUAAUAUAGACUCAAGAGUGAUUAGCUUAUUCGGUCAAUUGAUUUGUUAAGCUAUGAACUAUGUGUAACUUGUAUUCGUAUAUGACUUGUUUGAGAACUUUAUUUCAUUUCAAAUUCUGGAUUUGGACAAAUUACAUGUUUGGAUAAUCAAGAGAGUUUGGGUUUGAAUUUGUAUCAAAUUCUCCAAGUCAUUCCAAUUUGAGUAGGAAUUUGAUAAUUUGAAAUUACAAUUAUAUUCAUGUCAUCUGAAAUGAAUUAUAUGUUAGCAAACAUAAUCGUAAGAUGCUUUGAGGCAAGCUGGAGCGUAAAAUAGCAUCUUGUGGCAAAAAACUCAGAGCUUUUGUGGCUGGAGUCUCUUAAUGGCCAGUUAUGCUUUACUUGAACAACUUAGGGCCUCUAUUGUUCUUAGCAAGCAGUCCUAAAUUGCUGGUACAAUUUAUAUGAGUUGAAAUUUGAAUACCUCAUAUACUUUCAGAAAAGCAAAUCAUAAUUUGCACAAGUACUGUCUGUGGACAUUAUGCUAAUACAUCAUAGUGUAUUUAAAAUUAAAGUGACUCAUGCAUCUUAGAUCGAUAUCUAAGCUUGAUCAGGAUGGGGACAUUCACGUAAAAUCUAAAUUGAUGUAAUUCAGCGAGAUCAGAACACAUUGACUUGUAUAUCCCUCGGUUUAUAAUUAAAAAUUAUGCAGUUGCAACCGUUUUGAUACCAAUUACUCCCACUGUCCCAGUCAAUUGUAUACGUUUCUUUUUCACUGCUCGACACGCUUUUUAAGGCUCUUAUAAAACAUAGUUCCACAACUUAUUUUUAAGAUUUUCUUUUUUUGUAUAAAAAUAUAAAUGUUAUACUUUUAUACAAAAAAAGAAAAUCUUAAAAAUAAUUUACAGAACUAUACUAUAUUGAAGCAUUAAAGUCCGUGCCGCGCCCCCGUCCCCCAAUAUAUACUAUUGACUGGGACGGAGGGAGUAGAUAACAUAUGAACUGAAGGGACAGGAUUCUGUCUGGUCCAUUCUAAUAAAUAUGAAACCUCCGAUGAGUGGUUUAGGUGGGAUGUUUCCCAAACAUGUAUGGGUUGUUCAUUCUAAAUCUAACCGGUGUUUGGGUAAAGAAAAUAAAGUUCGAAACUCGUAUCUAAAAUCCUAAAUCAUAUUAAUAUUUUUUUAAUCAAUUUGAAUUAAAUAUUUAAUUAUUUUAAAAUUGAAUAUAUUGAAUAUAUUGAUUGUAACUCAACUAAAUACAUGAUAUCAUAUAUGAUAUCUUAUACUCAUACCAAAUCCCAUACCACUUAGCAAACCAACUGAUAUUUAAAAAUUAUACUAUUACUAGAUGAUAACCCGUGCCAAGCACGGGUUUAAAUAAAAAUUAAAAUUUGUUAUUUAUAAGAAGAAUAAUGUCUUUUUUCAAUUACAUUAUCACAUCUUUUUUAUAACUAUUUAAAUUAUUGUUUUUAAAUAAUAUUUAAAUUAUUGUUAUUUAAUAUAAGACUUUCUAUAUAUUAAAAUUUGAUCCUACUUUAAAUUUAUUUCAUAACAAUAUGGGUCCAUGUUCUAUGGAGUCCACAAAAUAAGAGGAUUGGAGUCCAAAAUUAUUUAAAAAUAAUUUACUCGUUUCAAUUUUAAUUUUCUAGUCUACAAUAUUUGUAAACAUUUGACAAUUUGCAGGUUAUGUUCUACAAUAUAAUCGUUGAAAUUAAAAGAUAAAACAAUUAUUUUAUAAAUCACUAAACACUGUAUAUAUUCUAAAAUAUAACUCAUAAGUACAAUAAUGAUCUUAAUGAUUGUUAAAGUUGAAAGAUGUUAAUGAGUAACUGAAAAUUAUAUAUUUAAAACUAAAAGAUGGUAAAUUAUAUAUAAAAUUCGAAUAAUUAAAGAUAUUAUUUAUGAUUAAACUAAAAGAUUAUGACUGGUACUUAUUACAGCUUAAAUGCGGAUUUUAUGGAACUUAACUCUAACAUUAUGAUUUAUUUUAGUAAAAUUACUAUGUUGUUCGAUGAUUUUUAAAUUGUGAAAAUAAUAUUCAAGAUCAACACAUAUAAGUUCGUUUAUAGCAUCUUUAAUCUUGAACAAAAAUUCAAAAUUUUAAGUUGCAAUUAUUUUAUUCAUUUAAUUGGCAAACAUUAUAUAUAAUUCUAGUUGGAGUUUUUGUAGAUCUAAUAGUUGUUGUAAUUGUUUGAUAAACUAAUAUUGUAAUUUUGACAAAAUUAAUGAACUUUCCAAAAGUAAUUUGAUAUCAAAUAUUUUGACGUAUGUCUAGAGUUACGGUUCUUUUAUUAUAUGUUGCAAUAUGUACAAUGACUUCAUUUUCUUUCCUUUGAGUUUCUAUUUGUUUGUUAGUGUUACUACUACCUUAUUCGUCUUUAUCGCAAUCUUCUCAAAAACACUGAAUGAUAAUAAUUAUUUAUUAUUAAAAUAUAUAUGACCAAGUUUUUUGGUACUUUGGUAUCAAUGUGGGUGUUUGGAAACUAAGCUUCUCAGCUUAUUUAUAAUAAAAGCUGUUUCAGCACCGUUUGGCAAAAUCAUGGGAUAAAAUGACCUAAAUAUUUAGAAAAUGGAUAUUUGUGGAUAAAAUCUUUGAUUUUUUAAUUUAUAAAAUUAUAUGAUUAUAAAUCUAUUGUAAAUAUAAAUCUAUUUAUGUUUAUAUUUAUCUAGUUUAAAAAAUAACAUUAAAUUGAUUCUGAUUAAUGAUCCGAUUAAUCACUCCGAUUAAUCCCCGAUUAUCCGAUUAAUCGCUAGACGGUGUCUUUACCGACUAAGUCUGAUUCCCGCUUUUUACAACACUGAUAAGGUAUUGUAUCAUUAUGAUUAUUCUUUUAAAUAAAAUAAUAUUAUAUUACAAAAUUAUCAAACUAUGCUAGCUUAUAAGUUAAGUUAUCUAAACACUUAGUAACUUAUAAGUUAGGGUAUCCAAACACUUUUAAUAACUUAUAAGUCCAAACCAACUAUUCACUUAUAAUCAACUUAUUUACUUUAAGUUAGAAGUCACUUCUUUUAAACUCAGCCAAACGACCCCAAUAUUGAAUCUUGUUUAUUUUAAUUCUGAAAUACGAUAGAAAUUUUAUAGAUUUGUUUCGUAAAUUAAAUUGUAUGAGUUUUAAAAAUUAAAACGAAUAUUUGACGUAUGUCUAGAGUUUCGGUUCUUCUAUUAUAUGUUUUAAUAUGGACAAUGACUUCAUUUUCUUUGAGUUUCUAUUUGUCAAGUCAGUGUUACCACCGCCUUAUUCAUCUUUAUCGUAAUCUUCUGGAAAACACUGAAUGAUAAUAAUAAUUAUUAUUUAAAAUACAUGACCAAGUUUUUUGGUUCUUUGGUAUCAAUAUUAAAUCUUAUUUAUUUUAAUUAUGAAAUAUUAUAAAAAAUUUAUAAAUUUAUUUCAUAAAUUAAAUUGUAUGAGUAUUAAAAUUAAAACGAAUAAUUUCAUUGACAUUAUUAUUCUAUUGAUAGGAUAUUAUAUUAAUAUCAAUAUGAACCCUUAUUAAUUUGAACUCUGAAGCAUGAUUAAAGAUUUAUAGAGUUGUUCCGUAUAUUAAAUUAUUUGAGUUUUAAAAAAUUAAAACAAAUAAUUUUGUUGGUAAUAUAUUUUUAUUAGUGAGAUAAUUGUUAUAAUACAAUAUCAUGUCAAAUAUAGAAGUUUUUUGAUAAUAAUAAUAAUUGUUAAAUAAAAUGUAACAUGAUGAUAGCCAAAUUUUGAUAUGAAUUUUAUAAAACUUUUUCAUAAGUUAAAUUGUUAGUGAUUUAACUGUAAGGAUAAUAUAAAUGUUGUAUUACAAAAUCCUGAACACUAGGGGUGAUCACGGUCUGGUUUAAACCGCAAAAUCCGCAUAAACCAAUCCGAUAUUAAUCCGAUCCAAACCGAAACCGAAAUGAGGUUUACGGUUUCGGUUCGACUAAUUUAAAAAACCGUGGUUUGUGGGUUGGUUUCGGUUUUAUAUUAAACCAACCCGUUAUAAAACCGAACCGCAUAUUUAUAUAUAUACAAUAUAAAUAUUUAAUAUUAUAGAUAUUCAAAAUAUUAAUUUUUUAGCUUAUAUUUGCUGGGUGGUUGUUUUUUUUACAAGUGCUGGGUUGUUGUUUAGUUACAUACCGUAUCAAUACCGAUUACAAGUUAUAUUAAUACAGUAUUCCACGACUUUGAAUCAAGUUUAUGCAUUUUAUUAGACUAAAGUUUGUAUUUUAAUUUAACUAUACGAAAUUGUGUAAAUGGAGACAAAAUGAUACUUUAUUUUCUAGUAUUAUUCAUGAAUCCUCAUCUCUAAUUAUAAGCCUUAGUUAUAAACCGAUCAAUCCGCUUAACCGAACCAUCAAAAACCGCACCGCUUGGUCCGGGUUAAUUGGUUUGCGGGUCACGGGUUGGUUUGAGAUUUUAAAAAACCGCUAAUGUAUGGUUUGGUUCCGGUUUUAGCUUCAACCCGAACCAAACCGGACCGCGAUCACCCCUACUGAACACCAUAAAAGUCUUUUUGUAGUAGUAUAACAAUCUUAACAAAUAUUGAAAUUUUUAAUAAUAAAAUCCGUAUCAAUAUAGAAGUCUUUUCAUAAUUGUAUAAUAAUAAUUAUAAAAUCCUAAAAAUGUAUAAUAAUAAAUAUAAAAUCCUAACAAUAUGAAAAUCUUUUCAUAAUUCUAUAAUGAUUAUUGUUAUUGAAUUAAAAAUUUAUAUAAUCAAUAUUAAAGUUUUUAAUAAUAAAAUUCUAAUCAAUACAGAAGUCUUUCACUGUCCUAAUGAAUAUUGAAGUCUUUAAUAAUAAAAUUAAUAGAAGUCUUUUGAUAAUAGUAUAAGAAUGACUAUUAAAUCUUAAUCAAUAUGAAAGUGACCAAAUUUUGGUGCUUUUGAAUAUUGAAGUCUUUAAUAAUAAAAUUAAUAGAAGUCUUUUGAUAAUAGUAUAAGAAUGACUAUUAAAUCCUAAUCAAUAUGAAAGUGACCAAAUUUUGGUACUUUUGGUAUCGAUGUUCCACUGAAACGUGGUUUCGCUUAUUAAUAAAAGGUAUUGAUAUAUUCCUUCAUCAAAUGGCGUUGAUGGACCUGAGUGCUUGGUUGAUAUCAGUUAUCACAGCAAAUAAAAACAAUCCAUUCAACCAAAAAUUGAAUUAUACUCUCUUAUUAUAUGAAAUUGACCUUGACAUGAGUGCUUGGUUGAUAUCAGUUAUCAGAGCAAACGAAACAGGCCGUUCAACCAAAAAAAUAAAAAGAUGGACAUGAUAAGUGUUUUGUGGACCACUUUUUAGAACUUUGGAGUAGAUGCACGUAUAUUUUGCUGAACCAUUUUCCAGAAAUUUCCUCUUUUUUACGUUAAGUUGCCACAAUUAUGGUUGACGCCAAGUCAACACUUGCAGGAGGACUGUUGAAUCACAUAAAUUUCUAAAACAAAAUGAAGAUAAUAGUAAUUUUUACACACGGUAAUAAACUAAUAAUGACAAGAUCCUUAUCUCAGAGAGUCGCAGCAUCAAGCCAUUAGCUCAUUCGGAAAGCAAGUAAGUAGCAGUAGCUUAGUACUAGUGCACUGAUCCAUGCAGAAUCCACGGCAAAUAAUGUCGCUGUGUUUACGAAUAGUUAUCAUAGCGCUGUUAUCAGUAGCCAGCUGCUCCCUCAAAGUUCACAAAUCUAACAUUUCUUCUUCUUGCAAUAUGAAUUUAAACAUCAGCUGCCCUUUUUAUCUUGAAGAUCAUCCGCAAAACUGCCGCAACUUCAGCUACCCACUCUCUUGCCAUAACAAUCGGACUUCUCUACCACUUCUCAGUACCGAAUUCUAUGUGGAGGCUAUAAAUUAUGCCAAUUCUUCUGUUCGGAUAACUGACUCGGACAUAGCCACGUGUUCCUCCUUUACUCUCAUUCCUUACCGAUACGAUUCUGAUAAAUAUUUUUACGUAAAGGAUAUUUUUUCUCCGCUUGGGGAGUAUAAUACUCCAUUAACAUUUAUAGCCUGUUCAACUCCUGUGAUCAAUUCUUCAAUAUCAAAAAGAUAUAAACGCACGUCUGUGUGCUCAUCAUCAUCAGUCACCUCGUAUGUUGUCGUCGGAUAUAUGGACUACUCAGAAGUGGAAAACAAUUGCACAAUUCGGAAGACGAGUUGGGUGUCAUCUGCGUGGCCUGGUAUUAAUAAAACAUCUUUCAUGGACAUUCACGAUUUCACUUACGGCAUAGAGCUUCCGUUCCGCUACUUUGCCUGCCUAGAGUGUUAUGCUCCUCGAUCGCCAUAUUGU